UUGGGGCGCUCCCGCCUCUUCCGCCCCGGCGCCCCGCCCAGGCCUCGCCCCUCGGCGCUCCCGCCCCUCCCCCUCCCCUGUUGCUAGCUUUCUGUCAGCCUCUCUCCCUCUCCCUCUCCCCUCUCCUUCCUCUCGCUUCCUCUCUCGCACCUGAGCGCCAGCACCUGCCCGGGCCCGGCUCCCUCUUCCUCCUCCCCUCCCUUUUUCCCCGCCCGGCCGCGGGAGCCUCUUGGCUGCGUCACCGCCGCCCCCCAAGACAAAAUGGACACCGCCGAGGAAGACAUAUGUAGAGUGUGUCGGUCGGAAGGAACACCUGAGAAACCGCUUUAUCAUCCUUGUGUAUGUACUGGCAGUAUUAAGUUUAUCCAUCAAGAAUGCUUAGUUCAGUGGCUGAAACACAGUCGAAAAGAAUACUGUGAAUUAUGCAAGCACAGAUUUGCUUUUACACCAAUUUAUUCUCCAGAUAUGCCUUCACGGCUUCCAAUUCAAGACAUAUUUGCUGGACUGGUUACAAGUAUUGGUACUGCAAUACGAUACUGGUUUCAUUAUACACUUGUGGCCUUUGCAUGGUUGGGAGUUGUUCCUCUUACAGCAUGCCGCAUCUACAAGUGCUUGUUUACUGGCUCCGUGAGCUCACUACUGACACUGCCAUUAGAUAUGCUGUCAACGGAAAAUUUGUUGGCAGAUUGUUUGCAGGGUUGUUUUGUGGUGACAUGUACCCUGUGUGCAUUCAUCAGCCUGGUGUGGUUGAGAGAGCAGAUAGUCCAUGGGGGAGCACCAAUUUGGUUGGAGCAUGCUGCUCCACCCUUCAAUGCUGCGGGACAUCACCAAAAUGAGGCUCCAGCAGGAGGAAAUGGUGCAGAAAAUGUUGCUGCUGAUCAGCCUGCUAACCCACCAGCUGAGAAUGCAGUGGUGGGGGAAAACCCUGACGCCCAGGAUGACCAGGCAGAAGAGGAGGAGGAGGAGAAUGAGGAGGAAGAUGAUGCUGGUGUGGAAGAUGCGGCAGAUGCUAAUAACGGAGCUCAGGAUGACAUGAACUGGAAUGCUUUAGAAUGGGACCGAGCUGCUGAAGAGCUUACAUGGGAAAGAAUGCUAGGACUUGAUGGAUCACUAGUUUUUCUGGAACAUGUCUUCUGGGUGGUAUCUUUAAAUACACUGUUCAUUCUUGUUUUUGCAUUUUGCCCUUACCAUAUUGGUCAUUUCUCCCUUGUUGGUUUGGGAUUUGAAGAACACGUCCAAGCAUCUCAUUUUGAAGGCCUAAUCACCACCAUAGUUGGGUAUAUACUUCUAGCAAUAACACUGAUUAUUUGUCAUGGCUUGGCAACUCUUGUGAAAUUUCAUAGGUCUCGUCGCUUACUAGGAGUCUGCUAUAUUGUUGUUAAGGUCUCUUUGUUAGUGGUGGUAGAAAUUGGAGUGUUCCCUCUCAUUUGUGGUUGGUGGCUGGAUAUCUGUUCCUUGGAAAUGUUUGAUGCUACUCUGAAAGAUCGAGAACUGAGCUUUCAGUCUGCUCCAGGUACUACCAUGUUUCUGCAUUGGCUAGUGGGAAUGGUGUACGUCUUCUACUUUGCCUCCUUCAUUCUAUUACUGAGAGAGGUACUUCGACCUGGUGUCCUGUGGUUUCUAAGGAAUUUGAAUGAUCCAGAUUUCAAUCCAGUACAGGAAAUGAUCCAUUUGCCAAUAUAUAGGCAUCUCCGAAGAUUUAUUUUGUCAGUGAUUGUCUUUGGCUCCAUUGUCCUCCUGAUGCUUUGGCUUCCUAUACGUAUAAUUAAGAGUCUGCUGCCAAAUUUUCUUCCAUAUAAUGUCAUGCUCUACAGUGAUGCUCCAGUGAGUGAACUGUCUCUCGAGCUGCUUCUGCUUCAGGUUGUCUUACCGGCAUUACUUGAACAGGGACACACAAGACAGUGGCUGAAGGGGCUGGUGCGAGCGUGGACCGUGACCGCCGGAUACUUGCUGGAUCUUCAUUCUUACUUAUUGGGAGACCAGGAAGAAAAUGAGAACAGUGCAAAUCAACAAGUCAACAAUAAUCAACAUGCUCGAAAUAACAAUGCUAUUCCUGUGGUGGGGGAAGGCCUGCAUGCAGCCCAUCAAGCCAUACUCCAGCAGGGAGGGCCUGUUGGCUUUCAGCCUUACCGCCGACCUUUAAAUUUUCCACUCAGGAUAUUUCUGUUGAUUGUCUUCAUGUGUAUAACAUUACUGAUUGCCAGCCUCAUCUGCCUUACUUUACCAGUAUUUGCUGGCCGUUGGUUAAUGUCAUUUUGGACGGGGACUGCCAAAAUCCAUGAGCUCUACACAGCUGCUUGUGGUCUCUAUGUUUGCUGGCUAACCAUAAGGGCUGUAACAGUGCUGGUAGCAUGGAUGCCUCAGGGACGCAGAGUGAUCUUCCAGAAGGUUAAAGAGUGGUCUCUCAUGAUCAUGAAGACUUUGAUAGUUGCAGUGCUGUUGGCUGGAGUUGUCCCUCUCCUUCUGGGGCUCCUGUUUGAGCUGGUCAUUGUUGCUCCCCUGAGGGUUCCCUUGGAUCAGACUCCUCUUUUUUAUCCAUGGCAGGACUGGGCACUUGGAGUCCUGCAUGCCAAAAUCAUUGCAGCUAUAACAUUGAUGGGUCCUCAGUGGUGGUUGAAAACUGUAAUUGAGCAGGUUUACGCAAAUGGCAUCCGGAACAUUGACCUUCACUAUAUUGUUCGUAAACUGGCAGCUCCAGUGAUUUCUGUGCUGUUGCUUUCCCUGUGUGUACCUUAUGUCAUAGCUUCUGGUGUUGUUCCUUUACUAGGUGUUACGGCAGAAAUGCAAAACUUAGUCCAUCGGCGGAUUUAUCCAUUUUUACUGAUGGUUGUGGUAUUGAUGGCAAUCUUAUCCUUCCAAGUCCGCCAGUUUAAGCGCCUUUAUGAACAUAUUAAAAAUGACAAAUACCUUGUGGGGCAACGACUUGUGAACUACGAACGGAAAUCUGGCAAACAAGGCUCAUCUCCACCACCUCCACAGUCAUCCCAAGAAUAAAGUGGUUGUCUCAGCAACUUGACCUUCUCCUUUCGUGUCCUUUUUUGUGGACUUCUCUCCUUGGAGAUUUUUCCCAGUGAUCUCUCAGCGUUGUUUUUAAGUUAAAUGUAUUUGACUUUUGUUCUCAGCAUUCAGAGAGCAGUGGUGUAAGGCUCUGCUGCUCUUCCCUGCAUUUCUGACAUUACUGCUGUCUGAGAUUUGUAUAUGUGUAAAUAGAAGUUCCUUGAUACCCUAAAACCUUGGAUUAAACAGAAUGUGCAUUGUACAUCUUUAAACAAAAUGUAUAUUAAUUUAUUAAAUCUAGUUGUCACUUUAUUUUGGACCUGCUGUGAUCUUGACAGGAAAUGUGCCACAGAGCAGUAGUGCACAGGCAAGACUUCAGUGACAUCUUGUGGAACACAGUUCAUGAUGCUCCUAGCAGCUCUCACUAAGGGAACUGUACAUUCAUUCUUUCUUCGCUAUUCAGACCUUACCAAGAACGUAAAAGGAAACAAGUAGAAAUCAGCAGUGGAGUGUCUGUGUUCUCUGCAGAAACAGUGAAGAUGGGCCAUCUGAAUUCCAGAUGUAAACAAAAAUAAUUUUUAUUUCAACAUUUAAUGUAACUGUUAUUCUUGUGGAUUCUUGUGUAUUUUCUUUCCCUUAAGUAAUAACUUUCCUUCAAAUGAUUUGAUCCAAGAUACGUCAUUUCUGUAUUGGCAAAAUGCCACUAUUAAAGUGUAAUUCUUGAAUUUAGGUUGAACUGAUGACUUUUUAAAACAAAACAAUGGACAUUUCUAUAUUGUAUUGCGUUUGCGAAUGUGCGUGAAUACACGCACACAUGCAGGAAAAUGUAGUGCCACAGAACACUGGCACUUUUAAAACUUGGCAAGUUAGCUACUUCUUUUCAUUUUCAGGGUUGAGUAUUCUAAGCUCUCUACUUAAUGUGAGAAGUUUUCUACAUUGUAAAAUUAAAAGAUUAUGUUUAAAAUACUCCUUUAGGUUGUUAAUUAUUCAGCCAUCAAGAAAAAAAACAACUAAAAUGUCUUACCACUGAAGUAUUAUUAAAAGCCUCAUUUGUGGAGAUUCGCUAA